UGGGGAAUUUUGGACAAUGGGGGAAACCCUGAUCCAGCCAUCCCGCGUGUGCGAUGAAGGCCUUCGGGUUGUAAAGCACUUUUGGCAGGAAAGAAACGUCAUGGGUUAAUACCCCGUGAAACUGACGGUACCUGCAGAAUAAGCACCGGCUAACUACGUGCCAGCAGCCGCGGUAAUACGUAGGGUGCAAGCGUUAAUCGGAAUUACUGGGCGUAAAGCGUGCGCAGGCGGUUCGGAAAGAAAGAUGUGAAAUCCCAGAGCUCAACUUUGGAACUGCAUUUUUAACUACCGGGCUAGAGUGUGUCAGAGGGAGGUGGAAUUCCGCGUGUAGCAGUGAAAUGCGUAAAUAGGCGGAGGAACACCGAUGGCGAAGGCAGCCUCCUGGGAUAACACUGACGCUCAUGCACGAAAGCGUGGGGAGCAAACAGG
rnacentral:rRNA from 1 species